UACGUAGGUGGCAAGCGUUAUCCGGAAUUAUUGGGCGUAAAGCGCGCGCAGGUGGUUUCUUAAAUCUGAUGUGAAAGCCCACGGCUCAACCGGUGGAGGGUCAUUGGAAACUGGGAGACUUGAGUGCAGGAAGAGGAAGUGGAAUUCCAUGUGUAGCGGUGAAAUGCGUAGAGAUAUGGAGGAACACCAGUGGCGAAGGCGACUUUCUGGUCGUGUAACUGACACUGAGGCGCGAAAGCGUGGGGAGCAAACAGG
rnacentral:rRNA from 1 species